rnacentral:rRNA from 1 species
CGGACUGUAGUCUGCAACUCGACUACAUGAAGCUGGAAUCGCUAGUAAUCGCAGAUCAGAAUGCUGCGGUGGAUACGUUCCCGGGUCUUGUACACACCGCCCGUCACACCAUGGGAGUCGGAAAUGCCCGAAGCCGGUGACCAAACCAAUAAGGAAGGAGCCGUCGAAGGCAGGUCUGAUAACUGGGGUGAAGUCGUAACAAGGUAAC